rnacentral:rRNA from 1 species
UGGGGAAUAUUGGACAAUGGGGGCAACCCUGAUCCAGCCAUGCCGCGUGUGUGAAGAAGGCCUUUUGGUUGUAAAGCGCUUUAAGCAGUGAAGAAGACUCCAUGGUUAAUACCCAUGGGCGAUGACAUUAGCUGCAGAAUAAGCACCGGCUAACUCUGUGCCAGCAGCCGCGGUAAUACAGAGGGCGCAAGCGUUAAUCGGAAUUACUGGGCGUAAAGCGAGCGUAGGUGGCUUGAUAAGUCAGAUGUGAAAGCCCCGGGCUUAACCUGGGAACGGCAUCUGAUACUGUUAGGCUAGAGUAGGUGAGAGGAAGGUAGAAUUCCAGGUGUAGCGGUGAAAUGCGUAGAGAUCUGGAGGAAUACCGAUGGCGAAGGCAGCCUUCUGGCAUCAUACUGACACUGAGGUUCGAAAGCGUGGGUAGCAAACAG